AGUGAACGCUGGCGGUAGGCCUAACACAUGCAAGUCGAACGGCAGCACAGUAAGAGCUUGCUCUUACGGGUGGCGAGUGGCGGACGGGUGAGGAAUACAUCGGAAUCUACUUUUUCGUGGGGGAUAACGUAGGGAAACUUACGCUAAUACCGCAUACGACCUACAGGUGAAAGCAGGGGAUCUUCGGACCUUGCGCGAUUGAAUGAGCCGAUGUCGGAUUAGCUAGUUGGCGGGGUAAAGGCCCACCAAGGCGACGAUCCGUAGCUGGUCUGAGAGGAUGAGCAGCCAAACUGGAACUGAGACCAGGUCCAGACUCCUACGGGAAGGAGCAAUGGGGAAUAUUAGAAAAUGGGGGGAAGCCUGAUCCAGACAUACCGGGUGGGUGAAAAAGGGCUUCGGGUUUUUAAAGCCUUUUGUUGGGAAAGGAAAGCAGCAGGGUAAAACCCCGCUGUUCUGACGGUACCCAAAGAAUAAGCACCGGCUAACUUCGUG
rnacentral:rRNA from 1 species